rnacentral:lncRNA from 10 species
AGGAAAAGGAUGCGCUGGGUCGCUGAACCACCGGCUUGUGGUAGGUCUCUCGGCGGGCAGUUAAAGGCUGGGAUAGGCUCCCCUAGCUCCUAGUUGUGGGGCCUGCGUUAGCAGAGGACUUGGCGAGCGCUGAGUCCGGUCUCAGAGAAGGUAAAUUUGUUCAAACUGAAAGGAUUAGCCACCCUUCUACCUAGGUAGCUUGCACAACUCAGUGUUCCUUCGUGGGUCUGUGGCCACUAGAUUCUCUUGGCUUGAUGUUUUAUUAACACAUUUUCUUUCUUAUUUAAAUCUCACUCAGAGAAGUAUUGACACUGCUGGCUGCCCUGUGGGAGUCACACUUCCUUUUAGAAUCAUGAAGACCCUCAGGGGGUCCUGCCUUUCAUGAAAAAGGUAGUAUUUAAACAGUGACUUCUUUAGUAGGGAAAUAAUAUGGUAUACACACACACACACACACACACACACACACACACACAAAACCUAAGUAACAAGAU